rnacentral:rRNA from 1 species
UGCAGUCGAGCGAACAGAUAAGGAGCUUGCUCCUUUGACGUUAGCGGCGGACGGGUGAGUAACACGUGGGUAACCUACCUAUAAGACUGGAAUAACUCCGGGAAACCGGGGCUAAUGCCGGAUAACAUUUAGAACCGCAUGGUUCUAAAGUGAAAGAUGGUUUUGCUAUCACUUAUAGAUGGACCCGCGCCGUAUUAGCUAGUUGGUAAGGUAACGGCUUACCAAGGCAACGAUACGUAGCCGACCUGAGAGGGUGAUCGGCCACACUGGAACUGAGACACGGUCCAGACUCCUACGGGAGGCAGCAGUAGGGAAUCUUCCGCAAUGGGCGAAAGCCUGACGGAGCAACGCCGCGUGGAGGUGAUGAAGGUCUUCGGAAUCCGUAAAACUCCUGUUAUUAGGGAAGAACAAAUGUGUAAGGUAACUAUGCACGUCUUGACGGUACCUUAAUCCAGAAAGGCCACGGCUAACUACGUGCCAGCAGCCGCGGUAAUACGUAGGUGGCAAGCGUUAUCCGGGAAUUAUUGGGCGUAAAGCGCGCGUAGGCGGUUUCUUAAGUCUGAUGUGAAAGCCCACGGCUCAACCCGUGGAGGGUCAUUGGAAACUGGGAAACUUGAGUGCAGAAGAGGAAAGUGGAAUUCCAUGUGUAGCGGUGAAAUGCGCAGAGAUAUGGAGGAACACCAGUGGCGAAGGCGACUUUCUGGUCUGUAACUGACGCUGAUGUGCGAAAGCGUGGGGAUCAAACAGGAUUAGAUACCCUGGUAGUCCACGCCGUAAACGAUGAGUGCUAAGUGUUAGGGGGUUUCCGCCCCUUAGUGCUGCAGCUAACGCAUUAAGCACUCCGCCUGGGGAGUACGACCGCAAGGUUGAAACUCAAAGGAAUUGACGGGGACCCGCACAAGCGGUGGAGCAUGUGGUUUAAUUCGAAGCAACGCGAAGAACCUUACCAAAUCUUGACAUCCUUUGACAACUCUAGAGAUAGAGCCUUCCCCUUCGGGGGACAAAGUGACAGGUGGUGCAUGGUUGUCGUCAGCUCGUGUCGUGAGAUGUUGGGUUAAGUCCCGCAACGAGCGCAACCCUUAAACUUAGUUGCCAGCAUUUAGUUGGGCACUCUAAGUUGACUGCCGGUGACAAACCGGAGGAAGGUGGGGAUGACGUCAAAUCAUCAUGCCCCUUAUGAUUUGGGCUACACACGUGCUACAAUGGACAAUACAAAGGGCAGCUAAACCGCGAGGUCAUGCAAAUCCCAUAAAGUUGUUCUCAGUUCGGAUUGUAGUCUGCAACUCGACUACAUGAAGCUGGAAUCGCUAGUAAUCGUAGAUCAGCAUGCUACGGUGAAUACGUUCCCGGGUCUUGUACACACCGCCCGUCACACCACGAGAGUUUGUAACACCCGAAGCCGGUGGAGUAACCAUUUAUGGAGCUAG